CCCAACCUGACUGCUGUGUUCUGCCCUGAGUCUGCAGAGGCUGACCCUGGCCAGGAAAGUGGUUGGAAAAGCAUUUUUGCAGAGAGGCAGCCUGAAGGUGGUGGCUCUAUGUAAGUGUGCACCCUUGGUUGGAAAGGCUGAAGGUCAGGAAUGGUAUUAGGAGAAAGUUCCCCCUUUCUCCUUUGUCCCUCCUUCCUGCCCCUGGACACAGGCUUGAGGAUCUGCAUCUGGCUGGCUCACCCUUCCUGCACAACUUUUCUAUUCAAGUUUUUCAGGGCAGGGCUUUAAGAAACACUUCAGGUUAAUUAUAGCCAGGGGUCAUUUUCUAUACAAGCGGGACAAACUUGAUGUGACUACAGGGCUGUCUCCAGGGCUGAUUCAUUCGACCUAGAAAACUGCCCCUAGGGAAACAGCCUCAGAAUCUUGCCUGCAGCUCUGGAAGUGGUAAUGGGCCCACCUGUCUCCCUGCCCAUCAUCUCACAUCUGGGGGAAUGUCUUGGCUAGCAGCAUGGCCCUGAGUGAGGGGUUUAGGUAAACAAGGUGUGACUGGGAUUGGAAGAGUCACAAACCUGUUUGUUAGAGCAAUGCUGAAGAGUUUCAGGAAAAGAAUUUCAUCAAGGCUGGCACAUCUGUCCUCAGACACUUGAAGGAUUCCCUGGAGGAAGGAGGACUGAACUUGCCCUACAAGAUCCUGCGGGGCAAAGAACUGUAAGCAGAGACAAAAUGAAAGCCCUCUAGGCCCACAAUUGAUUCUAACGGCUGUGAGGGAAUGAGCUUCAACUACUGUUGAUGGGAGGGACUGUGUGCCAGGCACUGUGCUAGGGACUCUCAUGCAUGAUCUCAUUCAUCUUCUGCAUAACCCAAUGAGGUAUGAUCUACUAUCAAGUGUCUACAUUUGUAUUGGAUUGGUAUGUGUGCCCAACAAAGAAAGUGUCAUUUUUCCUUGGGAAUGAAAUCACAUCAUUUGUGAAGACUUAGUAGAGGCUAAAUGAGUACAAGCAGCAUUUACCUUAUUAAACAGAUAUUUUCAACAUUUAAAACAGUCUGACCAUCAAUGAUGAUGUUCAAAAACAUCUCAAGAUGUUUUAGAGCUAAAGCAAAUGAGAAAAUAUAGUAAAGGGCUGAUUCCUGUGGAUAUUCUGCAAAGGAAAGUAACAUGGUGGAGUGGAAGUGGGAUAAGGUUUGAAGCCAAAAGACCUGGUGGGCUUAAGGUCUCCAUUUAUUGGUUGUGUGACCUUGGAUAAGCCACUUCACCUCCUGGUGAGACUUGGGCAAAAUGGAGAUCAUAUUAAUCACCUCACAGUUUGUUACGCAUUGAGUAAAUGCACAUGUAAGCAUUAUUGACUGUAAAUGAUUAUGCAUAUUUUAAUUAUGGUAUAUCCAAGCCUGAUUUUUCAUCCAGUGCUUACAGUGCCCUGGGCAUAAUACUCAUUCAAUAAACAUUUGUUUGAUGAUAGAGUAAUAAAUGAAUAUGUGAUGCAGAAGUUUUAAAAAUAUUUUUGCUGCUGUCUGACUCAUUUAUAGACAUUUAUAAAAUUGAGGAUUUGUAAGUUGUCCCUGGACAAUCAGAUCUCUUGAUUCAAAGGUGAAAGAUAAUCAUUCAGGUUUUCAAGUUUUUCCUGAUAUGAGACAUUAACUGGCAGGGCUGAUUAUGAGAAAUUGUCAUUAUCCUGCUCAAAUAUAAGAUCAUAGAUUUGGGAAACCUUAGAAAUAAUUACCUUCUUUUCAAAUAUGAGGAAACUGAAGCCCAGAGGCUCUAAGAAAUCAGGGACUUUAUAUAAUUUUUUCAUUUCUCUAGCUCUAGGGUAAUUGUAGAUAGAUAUACAACAAGUAUGUUUUUAAAAGUAUAUUUUUCAAGAAUUAUGCUAAGCACUGGGGAAAUAAACAUUAACAAGACAAAACCCUCCCCUUUGAGGAACUGAUAAUCUAGACAGACAUGAAAACCAGGAAGUGUGCUAUCAGUUAUAUUAAUGUUGUACAGAGUUCUAGUGGCAAGAGGGAACUGCCAAGGGAAAUCUGAGAGGAGGUGUUUACCCUGCGUAAACACCUUGCUGUUUAGCUUGGCAUCCCUAGAAGCAGACCCUGAGGACAGUGGGAAAAUGGAUUAUUAAGGAAGUGCUCCUGAGAGAAACCAGAAAGGGGGUGUAGGGAGCAAGGGAGGAUAAGGAGAAGACUCCAGUAAGGAUGAGAUUACUCAAGUCCCAUGGAAGACAGGUUAGCCUGAUCCUGCAGGGGAGCCCUGGAGGACUUAACAUCUCUGGAAAGCCAGAAAUCAGAGAUACAGAGAAGUAUUGAAAUGCUGAAAUGCUAUGAAUUUACUAUAAGAGAACAUUCUUCACUGAAGAGAUCUCUAGCUGCCAAAACACCCUUUCAUGCGUGAAAUACCGGGGCAAAGAGGAAGGAAAAGAGAAGAGUAUGACUCUAGGAACCAUGUUGCAGAAAUGCCAAAGGGUGGGACAAACAAGUAUGGGCUGUAAUGACUUUGGAAGAUCCAAAUAGCUAUCAUCUUGGCUGGAGAGAGGGUGACUUCCAAGCAAGGGCCUGUGCUCUGGCCUCACUCUCUGCGGCUCUGCAACAUGAGCCUCAGCAUCCCCUGUGCUACUCACUAGAAAGUGGACCUGACAGCUUUGGCAGAGUUACUAAUGUGGAGAAAGAAGAUUAUCAUGUGUGGAACGAAGGACAAUAUGAACAUUAAAUAAUGCCCUGACUCAUUCCAAAAAGAAUCUGAGAUGACCAAUAAAGCCAUUUUUAAUUGUUUAUUAGUGAACAAUAGAUUAUGAGUGCUAAAGGGAUUCAGGAAGAAGAAAGAUCAGUGCAGAGUAGAGAAGUCUGAUGGAUGCAUUGAAGAAGCUAUGCUUGAGCUGAAAUGACAAGAGAGCUGUUUUUCGCUUUCAGAAUUAUUAUGUGGCAAUGGUAAUUGACAACAGAGAAGCUGAAGGGAGGAAGUCACUUUAUGGGAGCAGAGUCACUCUCAAGUAAUAGCUGGCCAUACAGAUUGCUCUGGACCAAGGGUGAAUGUGAAGAAGAAAAGACCGGCCAGCAACACAAUGGAAUAUCUAGAGUCAUAUUGAGGGAAAUACUUAGAUUGCUGAUUUCUUAGUGGAUUUCACAAGCAGAGCUGCUUGUGAGCAGAAUGGUGAAGUAGGGGCAUGUGUUUCUGGGGUCUUAUUCCAUGGCUUCCUUCCACCUACAAGAGUCAUCCUCACGGAGUACUUGCAUUUCAGUAGAAGAAAAAAAUCUUAUAGAUGGAAGGGAAGGAUGGGGUUCCUGCUUUAGGAAGAUUGGCAUGGUCAUAAGUCUGAGCAAGGAAGGGCCCAGGGCAGCUCAGAGCUCUGAGCAGGAAGCUCUAAUUAGUUACUGAAUAUGGUGCAAGCACAAAGAGAGCGUAGUGUUUUCCCUUUCCAUCUGUGGAAGUCUUGGCCAUGCUUACUUGGGCGUUCCUUCCAGGAAACAUUUAUUUUUCCUCUUUAAUGCCCUCCUCAUAUCUAUGCUCUCAGUAGAGGAUGCCACUGCUUCUGGCACCUGGAUAAUAGAAUGAAGCUGAUUGGGAUGGAAACAGAAAAGUCAUCUCUCAGAACAAUGAGCAGAGACUGAAACUCCCUUGUACCCAGUCCCUGUGCACUGCUGUUCAUAGCCAAAUGGGCAAGGCCUUGCCAAAUGUCAUGUUGAGGUGAGGCCCUAAGUGAUAGAAAAAUAAAAAAUGACUAUGGCCACUUGCAUGUUCAGAGAAUUCAGUUUAGAAAAUGCUAUGCUGGGAGGAUCUCUCUUAAUAUCUUGUUUGCAUCAGAAUGUUCAAGUUGCAAUAUAUGUUUUUGUUUUGUGUAUUUAUUUAUUUUCCUCUACUCUAUUCUGUUAAGUCUUUUAGGGCAAAGGUAGGGUAGUCUAUACUCCCUGCGUUAUCCAUAAUGCCUAGCACUGUGUCUUGUACAUAAAAGGUCAUAAUAAAUACCUGUUGGCUAGAUAGAUGAAUGGAUAGAGUGCCUCAUUUAGAAGCAUUAUACUUCUAUGGAAAAAAAUUUUUAAAUGUAUUUUUUUCUAUGAGAUAACACAGUUCCUGAAUAGGUCAUGGGCAGGUGCUAUUCAAGUUUGCGAAGGAAAGGUUUUCCUAGAGUUAGGGUAAUUUUUUCCUCAAAUAAGAAAAACCUACAGUAAAUAAUUACUCUCCAUAUUAUCUUUAGGUUUCUUGCCAGUAUUAACAUCUUUUUUAUUGUAAGUGAUGAUAUUGUCUGUGAGAACAUUACAGUAGGUUAGUAUCCUGGGUUAAGCUAAGUGUUGUUGAAAAUAAUCCUGGACAUCCAAACAGGAAGAGAGGAAGUCAAACUAUUCCUGUUUGCAAAUAACAUGAUUCUAUAUCUAGAAAACCCUGUAAUGUCAGCCCCAAGGCUCUGUGAGAUCAGAGAUAAAUAACCUCAGCAAAGUCAACAUACAAACAUCAGUAGCAUUCCUUAUACAAACAACAUCCAAGCUGAUGGCCAAAUCAGGAUGCAAUCCCAUUCACAAUUGCCCCCCCAAAAAUAUAAAAUACUUAGGAAUACAGCUAACCAGGGAUGUGAAAGAUCUCUAUAAUAAGAAUUACAAAACACUGCUCAAAAAAUCAUAGAUGACACCAAAAAUUGGAAAAAUAAUCCAUGCUCAUGGAUUGGAUGAAUCAAUAUCAUUAAAAUGGCCAUACUGCCCAAAGCAAUUUACAGAUUUCACAGAUUCAGUGCUAUUCCUAUCAAAAUAUCAAUGACAUUUUUCGUGGAAUUAGAAAAAACUAUUUUAAAAUUGACAUGGAACCCAAAAGGGACCCCGAAUAGUCGAGGCAAUCCUAAACAAAAAGAACAAAGCUGGAGGUAUUAUAUUACCCAAUGUCAACAUAUACUACAGGGCUAUAGUAACCAAAAGAGCAUGGUACUGGUACAAAAACAGACACAUAGACCAAUAGAACGUAAUAAAGAGCCCAGAAAUAAUGUCACACCACUUACAACCAUCUGAUCUUCAAUAAAGCUGACAAAAACAAACAAUAGGGAAAAGAUUCCUCAUUCAAUAAAUGGUGCUGGGAUAACUGGCUAGUCAUAUGCAGAAGAUUGAAACUGGACACCCCACCUUACACUACAUACAAAAAUCAGUGUAAGAUGAAUUAAAGGCUUAAAUGUAAAACCUAAAACUAUAAAAACCCUGAAAGAUAACCUAGGAAAUACCAUUCUGGACAUAGAACUUGGCAAAGAUUUCAUGAUGAAGACAACAAAAGCAAUUGCAACAAAAACAAAAAUUGACAAAUGGGAUCUAAUUAAACUGAAGAGCUUCUGAACAAAAAAAGAAACUAUCAACAGAGUAAACAGACAACCUACAGAAUGGGAGAAGAUAUCUGCAAACUAUGCAUCCAACAAAGGUCUAAUAUCCAGAUGCUGUAAGGAACUUAAAUUUAUAAGCAUAAACAAACAACCCCAUUAAAAAGUGGGCAAAGGACAUGAAGAGAUACUUUUCAAAAGAAGACAUAUAUGUGGCCAACAAGCAUAUAAAAAAUGCUCAACAUCACUAAUCAUUAGAGAAAUGCAAAUUAAAACCACAGUGAAAUACCAUCCCACACCAGUCAGAAUGGCUAUUAUUAAAAGUUGAAAAAUAAUAGGUGCUAGCAAUGUUGUGGAGAAAAGGGAACACUUAUACACCACUGAUGGGAAUGUAAAUUAGUUCAGCCACUGUAGAAAGCAGUUGGGUGAUUCCUCAAAGAACUUAAAAAAACAGAGUUACCAUCCAACCUAGCAACCCCAUUAUUGGGUAUAAUCCAAAGGAAUAUAAAUUGUUCUAUCAUAAAGACACAUGCACAUGUAUAUUCAUUGCAGCACUAUUCGCAAUAAGAAAGAUAUGGCAUCACCCUAAAUGCCCAUCAGUGGUAGACUGGAUAAAGAAAAUGUGGUGCAUAUACACCAUGGAAUACUAUGCAGCCAUAAAAAACAAUGAGAUCAUGUCCUGUGAAGCAACAUGGAUGGAUCUGGAAGCCAUUAUCCUAAGCAAACUAACACAAGAACAGAAAACCAAAUAUGGCAUGUUCUUACAAGUGGAAGCUAAACAAUAGGAACACAUGGAUAUUAGAAGGGUAACAGAAGAUAUUGGGGCCUACUUGAGGGUGGAAAGUGGGAGGAAGGAGAGGAUCGGAAAAAUACCUAUUGGGUACUAUGUUUAUUACCUGGAUGAUAAAAUUAUCUGUCACCAAACCCCUGUGACAUGCAGUUUACCUAUAUAACAAACCUGCACAUGUACCCCUGAGCCUAAAAUAAAAGUUUAAAAAAAAAAAAGAAAAUACACCUGGACCCUAUUUUGAAAGACAUACUGUAGACUUGAGGGAGGAAGAGCAGAGGGAUGGAAAGGGCCCCGAAUUACCCACAAGCCAUGUGAAUGCUUAAGCAGUCAUGGACCACAAUUCUCACCACACACACACACACACACACACACACACACACACACACACACACACAGGUCUGAACCCUUACCCCUGUCUACUACUUAUUGGAGCUUGGUAGAAAAAAAGUUGUGAGUGACAGAAAAGUGAGAAAAAGAGAAGAAGAAGAAAAAUUGGAAAGUGUGGAAGAAAAAGUGGCAAAUGCAAGCAGCCCUUAAUGGAACUGUGCUGAAUUGAGAGACAGCAGAAGGUAACAGCUGGCUGGGACUUGGCCAUGAAAGGUGGAAUGUGAGGAGACAAAUGAAAUGGAAAUGCAGGAAAGAAUGGAGUGGCAAAGGAGGCUGGAGAUGGGGCAGAGGAUAGCAAGGGGAGAGAAGGAAGCACAGAAAGGGUGUGGGGGACAGGCCAGAGAGUAGAAGGCUAGAUGGAACUGACUGAUGCCACCAGUCAGAGAUGGAGACCAUUAACAAUGUGUAGGGAAACCCCUGCCUUCCCAAUAAUGAAAAUGCAGGUUUAAUCAGUACCAAGGAACACUGUGAAGUAAGGGCAUUGACUUGGGAAGUGAAAGCCGAAGAUAGAGCAAACCCCAUACGGCAUAUCCUAACUCGCCAUUUUAACAGCAGAAAGACUCGAAAAUACAAAGCAAAGGAUUAUCCAAAGGGCUUUUUAAAAUAAUGCUUAAAAUUUUAAUCUUGUAAAUAUAUUUCCCUUCCCAGUAUGAAAAUAAUUCCGAGUAUAAUCUUUAUUUACUUUCCCCUUUUUAUUUUAGAAGAGUAAACAUAGCUUUAAGAAUUAAAAAAAUCAGUUAAUAAUCUGACUUUUAAGUCAGCUGUAAAAAUGUAAGUUUCUAGCUCUGCCACUUUUUAGUAGUGUGACUUUGGGCAAAUUGCUCAAAAACUCCAAAUUCUUGUUUCUUUACCUACAAAAAAGGGACAAUAAUACAUACCUCCUAUGAUAGUAGAAAAUUACGUGAAAAUAUACUCCAAGUAUCUCAGAGGGCUUGAUUUCCAGAAAGCGCCCAAGCUCAAUCAAUAGUGACGUUUACUAUCCACGCAGCCAGUUCUACUACUGGGAGUUGGUUGGUGCUGAUAAAGCUUUUUGUCAGACUUCUCACAAUUUCCAUUGUGAGAAGAUGUAGCUUCCAAUUAACUCUGUCACUGAUUGUUGGGUAACUUUGGGCCAAAUGCUGUUCCUUAAUGAAUGUGGGUGUGAAACUUAUUAAGAUUAAUGACUGUCACAGCUGUUAGCCAGAUGUUUACAUAAUUCCCUCUGUUUUACAGCAAUCAUAUCAGAGGAAAGGGGUUGAAUGAUAGAAUUAGAAAAAUAAGUACAAUAUUGUGGGAAUGAAUAAAUGUUGUUUUGGAGGGUAGGAGAUUAAAAUCCUAAAUGUAUUUUGAUUAGGCUAAUAUUAAAAAUUAGCAUCUGUAAAUCAGUAAUCUAAUUGAAGGAAUUUUUUAACACAAGUGACUGGUGGAGGGGACACAGCAUGGGAGGGCAUGCUUACAGCAAGAGCUCCAUUGAUUAAAUAGUCCCCUGCAGAACACAGAGAGUUAAAUACGUCUUUAAUAGCCUCCAGCAUGAAAGGGCAAAUCAUUUGUUUUAAUUGAGGAAGGAUAAAAUAUUUUUGCUUUACACAUAUAUGUUCUAUUUUAGCAUCAUAGUUAUUUUUAUAGCUGUUAUAACUUCACAAAACCUAAUAGGAAAAUAAAUCUGAAUCCAGAAGAGUUCAAUACUUUCCAGAGGAGUCUAGUAAAUAAAAACUCUACACUGACUGACUGAUCUUAUUCAUGCACUGCUCCUAAACCCAAACUCUCAAGUGAAGGGAAAAGAGGUUAAUUCGUUGGAAUAAAUUCAUGGGAUUUUUUUUUAAAGACACAUCCUGAAUCAAAGUGAUUAAAACAACAAAUGGAUAAAGGGUAGAGCUGUGAGAGGACAAGGUUUGCAUUACUGAGCAUCUUGAUUAUGUGGGGAAGAUGGGAAACAGAUCUUGCCCAUUCUGGUCUCAAACUACUAAAUCCUGAGAAUGCCAAGAGGCGAGUCACUGAAGUCAGAAGUUGGAAACAUGGCUAAGCUGUCCAGAGUGUGGAACACAUGGUCUCUGAAGGUUUUUAUUAGUGUGUGGGUGAGAGUUCAGAAGCUCUACUAAUUACUUUUGUUUUCAGAAUUUAUAAAGUUAAGACAGAAAGCGGAAUAUUAACACUUCACUUCCUCGUGCAGUCAUUAAUUUACUCACUUAGCAUACAUUUAUUCAUAGAAGCUUAUUGGUACCAAGUAUACCCUCAAUGAGCAACCAACCCAAAAUUGCAAAAGGGAGAUCAAACAGGGAAGCUGUGGUAGGAAGUAUCAUGGCCUCUUCAAAGAUGUCUAUAUACUAAUCACAGAAUUUAUGUAUAUGUGAUGCUGUAUGUCAAGGGAAGAUUAAGGUGUGCAGAUGGAAUUAAGGUUGCUAAUCAGCUGACCUUAAAAUAGGAGUACUAUCUUGGAAUAUCUGGGUGGGCUCAAUGUAAUCACAAAUGUUCUUAACAGAUAGAAGAAGAAGGCAGAGGAGUCAGUGUUGGAGUGAUGCCAUGUGAGAAAGACUCAACUGGCCAUUGCUGGCUUUGAAAAUGGAAGGAGGCAUAAGCCAAGGAAUGAAUGCAGGUGCCUCUAGAACCUGGAAAAAGCAAGGAAACAAAUUCUCCUCUAGAACCUCCAGAAGGAAUGCAUUCCUGCCAACACCUUGAUUUUUAGCUCGGUGAGACCCAUGCUGGACUUCUGACCUGCAGGAUUGCAAGAUAAGAUAUUUGACUUAUUUUAAGAUGCUAAGUUUGCAGUAAUUUGAUAUGGUAGCCAUCGGAAACUAAUACCGAUGCCAAAGCAGUAAAGCAGGAAAGCACUCCAAAAUCACAGGAGUGAGAGGAGCAGAAAUGUCCUAGGAGAAGACAAUGUUUCCUUUUGAAAAGGAAAGUUUACUGGCAACUUCCAUUUGAAUUUCUUAAUUUCUUUCCUCAGUGGCAGUCACUACUUCCAAGGUGGCAGGUUCCAGAGCUGAUUCAUUAUAUAAUCUUUUCUCAGGAGUAUUCUAGCCACCUUUAAAGAAGCUAGGGCCAUUUUCCUGACACUGCAUCAAGGGGUAAGGUUAGUGGUAAAGAAACCAUGCGGUAGGAAAGGCCAACUUUCUCCCUACAUAAUCCAAUCGCAUUAUCUCCAGACUUGCUCACCCUCUGCUCUUUGCAUACUGCAGCUCCAGAGCUUUCAUACCUACAGACUUCCUGGAGUUAAGACUAAAACAAGAGUUGUGCUACAGACUACCGUUCCUAUUAUCAUUUUUUGUGUCCUGCUGAGUCCUCCCCUCUUGGCAACUUCAGGACCACCCACUGGGAAGAUAAUAUACAACCCAUCAGGAAACUCCCAGUGCCCAUCGUGGAGGCCAAGUGCUGCCAACUCUGAUUGCUUCUGGAAUGCCAUUUCUUCCCUGCCCUUUCAAUAUUCUUGUUAUGCGACUCCUAUGAUCACUGCCAAUCUGUAGAAAAUUACAGGAUGAAUUUUUGUGAAGGACUGAAUUUGCAUACUGGUCUUUUGUUGUUUAUUGUUGGGGGGAUUUUGCUUUUUGCACACAAUUUCUGCACAUUUUAUUGGAAGUUAUUGGGUUAGAUUCAUCCCAUUCAUUCACUAGCCUGGCAUUGCUAUGCAUGUGCUGUAGGGGCUUAGCAUUAAACGAUUUUCUUUGUUCAGAUUUGGAUUGCUGUCUCUGCUUGCAAAUUAUUUUUCACAAUGACUCCUUCUUUUCCUUCUCUCUCUCUCUCUUUCUCUCUCUCUCUCUCUCACACACACACACAGACACACACACACACACACACACACACACACACACACACACACAGAUGAGGUUAGAUAUUUUUCCAUUGCCAAGUUCAGGACCCAUGAAUAC
rnacentral:lncRNA from 10 species